rnacentral:rRNA from 1 species
UACGGGGGGGGCAAGCGUUGUUCGGAAUUACUGGGCGUAAAGGGCUCGUAGGCGGCCAACUAAGUCAGACGUGAAAUCCCUCGGCUUAACCGGGGAACUGCGUCUGAUACUGGAUGGCUUGAGAUUGGGAGAGGGAUGCGGAAUUCCAGGUGUAGCGGUGAAAUGCGUAGAUAUCUGGAGGAACACCGGUGGCGAAGGCGGCAUCCUGGACCAACACUGACGCUGAGGAGCGAAAGUCAGGGGAGCAAACGGG